AGAUGGAUCUUUUAUCCAGUGGGAGUGAUGGGACUGCCGAGUUAAAUAUGGCUGGUCUAUUUUCAGUGAGGAUGAGAUGGCGGUUUCAUACAUCUGUUUUGCAUCAUGUCUUCAGUGGAUGUUGUAUUAGGUAAAUGACUGAUGUAUGUUGGUGAAGAAGCAUGAAUAUGUGGUGGGAAAUGAAUGACUUUCUUUCUUACCUGCCUCACUACAGAUAUUUUACAUCCUUCAUCUGUCAAUGCAGACGCACCGUAAAAUUAAUGCUGAUUCAUGUCAUCGCUGUUACCUCAUAUUGAUGAUAUAUAGAAGUUUGACUUAAAAAAUACACCAUAUAAUUUGGACCGGGGAGAGUAGUUAUUUUAUAUACACAAUGUUCUAUAUAUGGAUAUCGGUAGUUCUAUAAUCAUUAAAAAAUGCCUAAUCAUGAAAUAUUUUCAUGCGAAACUAAUUAUGUUAUUUUUUUUAUCUUAACAGUCAGUUUAUAUGUCGAUAGUCAAAGUUAGAGAAGUAUGAUUGUACGUUUUUAGAACAUUAUUUGAUAGAUAUGUAAAAUUUACCACAUGUCUUUACCUUGACCAUUGCAAGUAAUGAACACCAAAAUUUUCCCUAGCUGGACAACUCACUCCUUAGCAGCGGCGUAGAGGAAAAGUAAAUCACAUAUUAUAGAGCAUAGAAAGUAGAAAAAGAAAUCAGGUUAUUGUCCGUGUAAGAAUAAUUACAACUUUUUACCGUAAUUACAGCAAAAUCAGCAAAAUCAGGUUGUCUGCGGUGGAUGCAUCCGCCUGCAAUACUACAUUUCUAUCUCUCCCCAAACCACUUCCCAAAACUUAACUCCUUCAAUCAUAAAUUUUUAGCACAGUUAAAAACCACUCCCCAAACCUUAAUUUUGCACAACUGUCAGCAUUCAAACAUGAUAUGAACUUAACAAAUUGAUUAAAUAUCACAAUAGUGCACAAUUAAACAUCACAUAAUUGAACUAAACAUGGUGGAACUAACAUAAGCUACAACUUGAUUAACUUAAAUUACAUCUUAGCUAGCCUAAUUUAAGCUAAUUGUCAGAGGGGGAGAUGGCAAUGGGCUCCUUCCCCUUGUCGGAGCCUGAUGCCCGACGUCAUGCGUGCCCUUUGGUGUGGCCUCAUCGGCGAAGGGGUUUGAGCCACCGGCAUAUUGAGAUGUCUUGAACUCUGCUCAGUCCCGUUACUUGGCCGCACAUGUGGCUAGGAUGGUGAUGAUAGUCGCAUGGCUUUGGAAGAGGCCUCCGAUCGCGAGGUGCUCCUCGAGGACCUCGGAGUCAGUCCACAUGGCGGGGGGCCAUAACCUCAUCUCCUCAUGAGGCCAUUUACGCCUCGUCGACUAUGUGCUCGUCGAGCACCUCCUCCUCCGCGUGGAGUUCCCGCUCGUCCUCUUCCCAUGGUUCGAGAUCCAUGGAGUAGGGCGUUGUCAAGGUCAAAGGAGUGCGUCAGCGACGGGAGAACCGCAAUUGCUGCACAGAGGACGAUGAGGAUGCGGGAUACAACCCCACACACCACCAUGGAAUCGUCGCCGGCACAGUGACCUUGCAGUGACCAUCACACGAAAUGGUAAGAAAUAUAAAAUACGAGCCUGUUUUAUAGCAUGAGUAAUUAAUCGUUAUUGUUGCAUAGAACUAGGUAAUUUUGCAUAUGCAUUGCACCGAGAGCAUAAUUUGUUCUCCCUCCAUUCCACAACGUAGUGUGCCCGCAGUUCUCGAGAUCCAAGUUUGACCGUAAAUUUAACCAACAAGACCGACUGCGGCUGGAGCAAUACCACUGUUUUAUGGAGUACUAAGGAGCGAGUUGUCCGGCUAGGAAAAAUUUGCAUAGUCUUUGUCUGUGUGUUUCAUCUGUGUUUUUUCUUUUAGUAUGUACUGCACACGACUGUGAUAUACUCCCUCCGUUCCAAAAAAGAUGACCCAACUUUGUAUUAAAGUUAGUAUAAAGUUGAGUCAUCUAUUUUGAAACGGAGGGAGUAUAUGCUGUCCCUAAUUUCCAGUCCGGGUUACGUGGAGCCCCAAUCAACCACAACCACCACAAAUGUAAGAAAAAAGCUCAGAAGCGUCCAGGCUCCACAUCAACAAUAACCAACAUGCUUCCAUUUUCAGCAUCUCAAAAUAAGCGCACGGGGGUGUUUCCUGACCACAGCCCCUGAACUUGACUUGCAUCAGCCGUUCGCCGGUGAAUGGUGACCUAACACCUGCCGUACCACACCACGACGACCAUGCGCCAGCGACCUGACAUGGCGGUACGGCGACGGACGCUCCUACGCGAACGCGUGCGGGCGCAAUCCGUCAACUCUGACUGAUGUAUGGCGUCUUCAGGAGAUCAGCCGGAUCGACCUAGAUAGUUGCAGCUGAGCUGCCGAACCGACCAAUCGCCGAAUCAUCCCCAAAACAGUUGCGUACAGGCUCGCUGUGUAGCCAUAUCUGUUCAGGUUAGAGAUUGAAAUGUAUCUUCCCGACGUUGCACUUUUUCCUCUAGGGUUUCCUAGAGUCCACUUUUUCCUCCGGCGGCGCCGCCGGAGUCCAUCCACCAAAUUCCAGUGUCAACCUGUGCGAUCUAUUCCGACGAAUCGCGAGGGCUAACCCUGGUGAACUGCGAGACGGUGUUGCAUGGCGGAUCUGGUCGCCCAGGGGGGCGCGGGCGGAAAGAAGGGAGUCCAAGGAGGCUUAGGGUUUGGCGCUGAUAAGGACGUUGCGGGAGAUAGGAGAAGGGAGAUUGGGGCAACCUCUGGUACGACCGAGGAUGUAACCAAAGAGAGGGAGGAGGCCGAGAGGGGGGAUACAGAUCGGGAAGAAGCGAUUGAUCGGGAGGAGAUUGAUCAUGGAUGAGAUCAGAUUGGGCCAGAACCUGAGCUGGAAGGCACCUUUGAAGGCUUGAAGCUCCAUGGGGAGGAAGAGGAGGACCUGGAUCUGUCGGGGGAGGUAGAGGAGCUGAUCAAGGAUGUUCGCUGGUUGUGUUUGUUCCAGGUACACACCAUGAGGCCAUUUAGCCACGCGGCGCUGCUGAACUCAAUGAGGAACGCUUGGGCUUGCGCCCAGGGAGUAACUUUCAACAUCAAAGGGCCAAAUCUGUUCUUGGCUCAGUGUCAUUGCUUGGGGGAUUGGAAGCAUGUCAUGGAGGGAGGCCCCUGGCAAUUCAGACGAGAUCCGGUGGUUAUUGUGGAGUAUGAUGGUUUCACAAACGUCUCUGAGUAUGCUCUGGAUAUGUAUCCCCUAUGGGUAAGGAUCAAGGAUUUACCGGAUGGGCUCACAAGGAAAAGGGAGCUAGCGGAGAAAAUUGCAAAGAAGGUGGGAGAGCCGCCGUUCACGGUGGUUGUGAAUGAAGGAAGAAUUAACCCCUCUAGUCACUUAAGAGUAAGGGUGUUUAUGAAUGUCCAGAAGCCAUUGGUGCGAUUUGUCAGUAUUACUCUCAAGGAGACGAAAAGGUAUCCUGUUACAUAUGAGAAGCUGCCGGAUUUUUGCUUUUUCUGUGGCUGUAUGGGGCAUGUGGUGGAAGAGUGCGGAGACGGGAUUCACGAUCCUUCCGAGUGUGAUUGGGGAGACUGGUUGCAUUGGAGUAGUGAGACGGCUAUGGCAGGAGGUGGUGUAGGGCGUGGUAGAGGAGGAGCGUCUGAAAGUUUUGGCGGGGGAAGAGGGAGACGGGCUGGUAGAGGAGGAGGUAGAGGAGUAGGAAAUUCAGGGGGAAGGGGGGAUGCAGAAAGCAAACCAGCUGGGGGAGUAGAUGCUGUUGGACAGAAUUCGAGUGGCGGGGUGCUUGCGGUUCCAAGAGCCCAUAAUCUUGGUGAGGACGAUCCCAUGACUGCUCGCAAAAGGCUUAUGGGGGCAGAUGGAGUCGUGAUGGUUCGUGGUCAACCAGUGCCGAACCUUGCUGGCAAAGUACCAAACACGGUUCUCAUGUUGGAGAGCGGUAGUGGGUCUGGGGCAAAUGUGGUGCCGGCCCCAUCGUCUACACCUGGCAAGUUACCAGUUGUGAAAAGAAGGAAGCAAGGUGAGGAGAGGGAGGAUGUUGAUAUGACAAAAGAGGCGGCCUCCUUCGAGGAGGACCGCUGGGCCCAAUGAAUAUCCUUAGUUGGAACUGCCGGGGAGGGGGGAAUCCCGGACAGUUCGUGAGCUGGCGACUAUCUGUCAGUCGCAUUCCCCUAGAAUGGUGUUUUUGUGUGAAACAAGACAGAGAGCUGAUAAAAUGAAGAAGGUGCGAGGGAGGAUUGGAUUGAAGGGUUAUGCAGGAGUUGAUAGUAAUGGUAUGAGUGGUGGUCUUGCGUUGUAUUGGCAUGAGAGUUACGAAGUGGAAAUUGUGGACAACACUACAAGAAAUAUGUUAAUACGUGACAGUACUAAUCCAUCAUGAAUGAGUGAAAAACUGUCAUGGGUGCCCGUCCAUGACGGAUUUGAAGUCCAUCAUGUAUAUCACGUCAUAAUUUGACACGGUUCUUGUCCGUCAUGGAUCCACCCCAGGCCCGCCCAAGCCCAAUCCAUUAUGACAAAACAAGCCGUCAUGGACUAACGCCAUGUAGGAUUUUUUAUCGACCAUUUCAAAUGACGUGGCUGCCCACGUGGAUACUAUUUUCCGUCACCAAAUUCGUCAUGGUUGAGCACAUUAUUCCACUUCUUUCAGCCCAAUUUUUACCCGAUACAUUUUUAGCAUAAUGAUAACAACAUUAAACCAUUCAACCAACUUUUGGAAACUGGUUAACAUUACACAGUACAACAUAGCAGUUUAUAAAAUCCUCUAAAAAUGAUAAAUUACAAUAUGAAUUGAUAAAAUAUAUCACAUCACGGUUAGGAAUGAGUACAAUGCAUUUUACAUCAACAGAACAUACAAACUAUCAAGGCUGUUACUUAGGUUCUUGUUGUCAGCCCUCCUGAUGGCAACCAUCAUGUCUUGGCUGAUUGUGAUGAGAAGCACCAAGUAGCCCACUUCCUAAUCUUAUCUGCAUAUUUACAAGAACCUUAGAUAUUUGUAGAUAUGAAUAGAUAGUAGAAAUAAUAUAAUUACAACAAAUAUAAAAAUGAAUUAAAUGUUGUCCAAAAUUCUUAAAUCUUAUAGUGCCUACGAAUGAGAAUAACAUUGCAUCUACUAUAAAACAAGAGUAAACAUAAGGUUUCUUAAAAUUAAACCAAAGAAAAGUGUGUCAAAUGACAAAGUAACAAAACACACAUCACAGAAUUAAGUACUAUAUUAUUGAGGUUGCUAUUCAUGUUCUUGUGAACAAAUAAUCUAUGAUGCAACCGUAAUCUAUAUUUACAUGGUUACAGCAAAUAGACUAGCAGCAAUUUGUGAGCACAGGUCUCGGUUACAUGUGCAACUCUGGCAUAAACAUGCAUAAACAUACAGCUUGACAUUUUUUUCUUUCUUAAUAUACAAGGCGAAGCUUUUGCCUCUUUCGGAAAUAAUGUGAAUCACACGUCUGGAGUAACAACAUCCUAAUUGGUCUCAUAUUCAGCUAAACAGAACAGGUGGACACGAGUAGAUAAAACUAGCUAAAAAAUAUUAGCAGAGAUACUCUAAGCAGAGCCAUAAGUAUACCAAGAGAUGAUAUAUGCUUAAGCUAGAUAUAUCCUUUAUACUUAUGAAAUCUGUAACUCAUACAAGUAUAUAGCAUGCUCAGAACAAUGUAUUCUGUUCUUGAGCUUCCAGCGUUAAAACAUGCAGAUAUUUCAAACUAAAAUAUUAGCUAUACUGUGUUGAAAUUGCUGUUUCAUAUUGCUGCUAAAGAACAAGUCAGGCAAUGACAAAAGAGUUUGGAAUAUGUAUUUACCUCCUGUAUUCACCAUGGAUCGUCGUUGCGGGGAAACCCGCUGUUGUAUAGCCAAUAUCUCAAUGAAUCGGCUUCUUGUUUUGUCUCCACGAAAACCAAUGUUAAGAGGCUGUUCAGGCUAGACAAACCAGAAAACUAGCAUCAGAAAAAUCUUAUAGAAUAAUUGUAAAUAAACCCAAUUGCUACAAUCCAAGAUGGCAGCAAAUAAUACCUUGUUGGUGAGUACGACAAGGUGCGAUGAACAAAAUAUGUAACAAUUGCUGCAACAAAUGAUGGUAGUAAGUACAUUUCACGGAUCUGACACUAAACUUGUAUGUAAUUAGUGCGAGAGCGAGAGUAGGCGAGGACUGAUCAACCAAAUAAUGAUAACUCAUAGAAAGUUUGCACAAAAUAUAUAACAGAUAAGCAGUGUAAUAGCAGCUUCAUCCAACUAGAAGUGUAGUAGCAACAACAACUACUACAGCAAUAGGAAUCUCCAUCCAAUUAAAAGAGCAACAGCAACAGGGGAACAUCAGCAUAGCUGCAGAAGGCGUACAUGUCACCUCUCCGCUUCAAGCAGAAGCGUUGGCUCUUCUAGCAGCUACAGAGUGCUGCUGCAAUCACCACAGGCGAGAUUACCUUCAUUACAGAUGAUCACGUUGUAGCAAAGGUUGCUGCUGCCUACAGGGAUUGGCCAAAUAAACCUGGACCAUAGGAGAUAAGAAACUAUUUAGCUGCCAUCUUCUCAAUCAUUAGCCAUUCUCAGGUUAAGGUCACUCAUAUCCCUAGGAAUUUCAAUAGCAGGGCACAUAGGUCUUAACAAUCUCACUCUUGGUCAAUCAAUUGAGUGAGCUUAAUAAAUUAUUUUAUUCCAACAAAUCCAAGGAACCAACAGGAGCAUCUCAUGGGCAUUUAAUUAUCAGUUUUGCUAGAACUCAUCUAGAUGAGAUAUAAUUUGGUCUCAUUCACCUUUUAUAGCCAUUGGAUGUGAUGCUAUAAGAUGCGUGUGUGCUGAUGUGGGUUGUAUUUGUUCUUGUUUUCAAAGUGAAUGAGACCAAAUUAUAUCUCAUCUAGAUGAGUUCUAGGUACUCCCUUUAAUUAUUAAAAUUAGCAGUUGCUUAACUAACUAGCAGAUUUCACAAAUUCUACACUGCUAGUGCUAGCACGGUGAGAGAAGAAAAUGGAAAUAGGCAGCAGAAUUAGUCAAUCGUUGGCUGUAACUUACGAGUAUCAGCAAAACAAAGUGGCGACAUUUUCUGCAGCAGGUUCAGUCCAAUAAAAUUGGAUAGCCCAAGGAGAACUACGCUAGAGCAGGGCAGCAAUCACUUGGAAAGAAAAUAAAAACAGGGCCAGAGGAUCGACCUUCAUGUUCUCCGGGGAAUCAUGGUGGUCGGGGAGGAGGACCUCGCCAUCGAGUUGUCCCGGUCGUCGGGCUCGAGCGUGGGUCCCGGUCGUCGCCGUCCAUCGAACUAGAGAGGCAGAGAGUUCCUCCUGAACUGAAUCGAAGCAAAAAAAAAAACUUCGAUUGGGGAUGGGUAGUAAUGAAGGAGAUAGGAGAAGAUGGAGGAAGCAGGGAGGGACCAUGUGCGAGGCGUCGCCGUCGCCGGCGAGGUCGAGGUCGACCCUCCCACAGGUCACGGUGGUCGUCCUCUCCUCGUCCAGCGAUUGCUGCUCCAAAUCUCCGGAUGGCAAGGCAGCUGCGCGGCUUGCGAGAUGAAGGAGGAAGGCAUCUGCCGCAGAUCCAUGGCCCAGGUCGUUGGAUGCGAGAAGCAGAGGCGCGCCACCGCGGCUAGGGUUGUCCGCCGCUUCCAUCGGGCCGCUGCAACUGUUGUCGCUAUGGAUCUCAUGCCGUCAUCAUCGCUUGGAGGCGAAGGACGGGGUCGAGGAGAGAUGAGGCGUGGUGGCGGCGGAUGAAGAAACAGGUCGGAACAAGAGUAUCUUAGGGUUAGCUUUUAUACGGGGAAAGAUUUAGGGCUUUUGGCGGGCUUCGGUGGGCUUGCGGGUCUCUCCUAUGCAGUUCAUCACGAAUUUUGAAAUUGUCGCCGGAAAUCCGUCAUGUAUUAACAGGUUUCUUGUAGUGCAAAGAUGAACAUUUUAUUGAUGCACUAGUUCGUGUCCAGGAAGGGGCAACCCAAUGGAGGAUUACAUGUGUAUAUGGUGAACCACAAGUUGAAAACAGGCAUCUUAUGUGGGCUAAACUCGAGCAUCUAAAAGUUGCGAAUGAUCUACCGUGGCUUGUUGUGGGUGAUUUCAAUGAAGCCAUGUGGGGCUUUGAGCAUCUUUCAGUAACACCACGGGGAGAGCCACAAAUGGUCGCCUUCCGUGAUACUUUGGAGAUCUGUGGCUUGGUUGACCUAGGCUUUGUUGGGGUUCCCUUUACAUAUGAUAAUAAGAGGGGUGGAGGUGGCAAUGUGAAGGUGAGACUGGAUAGGGCAGUGGCGACUAACGCAUGGAGAAAUUUGUUUGCUUAUGCUUCGGUUUUACAUGUGCCCUCGCCUUGCUCGGAUCAUGUGGCACUUGUUCUUAAGGGGUCGGUCGAUUGGGGGCCGAAUGGAGGGAAGCAUAGGAGAUAUGAGCUGUUCUGGGAGAGAGACGGAUCUUUACUGGAGGUGAUCAAGGAGGCUUGGGAAGCAGCGGGAGGCGUGUACAAUAUGGCACAGCUGAGAGACGCACUUACGAAAACAAUGACAGCCCUUCGACUUUGGAGCAAAAAAUUUGGUAAUGUUACUCGAGAGCUCGCCAAAUCGCGGACCCAGUUAGAGGAGUUGAUGAACAUGAAUGCUGAUCGCCAGGAUAUUGUACAGGUGACGGAUAAGAUGAAUGAGCUUCUGUAUCAAGAGGAGAUGCUUUGGUUGCAACGAUCGCGUAUCACGUGGUUGAAGGAAGGGGAUAGAAACACUAAAUAUUUUCACAAUAAGGCAGUUUGGAGGGCGAGGAAGAACAAGAUCCGUGAACUAACGGACAGCGUUGGCAAGGUUGUCAGAAUCGCGAUUCUGUUAUACGAUUCUACGACUUUAUGAUCCAAACUAGCCCCUAUGAUUCUACGACUUUAGUUCUUAGAAUCUACGUUUCUACGAUCCUAACAGUGAAGAUUCUACGAUUUGCGAUCCUACUAUCGAAGCUCCGAUCCGAUUCAAAAUCGCGAUUCUGACAACCUUGAGCGUCGGUGUAAUUCAUUCCGACCUUGUUGGCAUGUGGGAAUUAGCCAAUAUGUAUUUCCAUGAUAUUUUUACAGCUGACCCGACGCUUAAUGCUGCGCCUAUUUUGGACUUAAUUAACCAGGUGGUAACAGAAGAGGACAAUGCCAAGUUGUGUGUGCCGUUUACAGAGAAAGAGAUUCCGGAUGCUUUGUUUCAGAUCGGGCCACUAAAAUCUCCGGGUCCGGAUGGCUUUCCGGCGAGAUUCUUUCAGCGGAAUUGAAGUACUCUCAAGGAGGGUGUGCUGGCAGCGGUGAGGGAUUUUUUCAGUACUGGAAUCAUGUUGGAGGGGGUGAAUUCAACCUCGAUAGUUCUUAUUCCCAAGAUCCCUAACCCGGUGAGAAUCACAGACUACAGGCCUAUUAGUCUGUGUAACGUUAUUUAUAAGGUGAUUUCCAAGUGCCUCGUGAAUAGGAUGAGGCCUUUGUUGGAUGAUCUCAUAUCUCCCGAACAGAGUGCAUUCAUUCCUGGUAGGAUGAUCACUGACAACGCGCUUGUGGCGUUUGAAUGUAUCCAUCACAUGAAGCAGGAAAAGGAUCCACAAGAAGUUUUUGUGCGUACAAAUUGGACUUGUCAAAAGCUUAUGAUAGAGUUGAUUGGGUCUUCUUGAGGCAAAUGAUGCAAAAGUUGGGUUUCUCUCAGCGAUGGGUUGACUGGAUAAUGUCUUGUGUCACGUCGGUGAGAUACUCUGUCAAACUAAAUGGAACCCUCUUGGAUUCGUUUGCACCGACGCGUGGGCUUCGGCAAGGAGAUCCGUUAUCCCCGUUCCUUUUCUUGCUUGUGGCUGAUGGGCUAUCUGCUUUAUUGAGAAACAAAGUAGAAGUGGGCGAAAUCACUCUGGUUAAAGUGUCAAGACGAGGACCAGGUGUGUCGCAUUUAUUGUUUGCUGACGAUACGUUGUUGUUCUUUGAGGCAUCAGGAGAACAAGCGAGAGAGAUUAAAGUUGUGCUGGACAUAUAUGGGAGGGCGACAGGCCAAAGUUUAAACCCCGAGAAGUGUUCCAUUCUUCUUGGGGAUGCUUGCCCCGUUGCGAGGCAGGAGGAAGUACAGGCAGUGCUUCAGAUCACUAACUUGCACUUUGAGGAAAAGUACCUUGGCCUGCCGACUCCGGAGGGUCGGAUGUCUAAAGGCCGUUUUCAGAAUUUGCAGACUCGGUUAACCAAGCGAUUGCUACAAUGGGGAGAUGGCCUUUUGGCGCAACCGGGAAGAGAAGUGUUGAUUAAGUCAGUUGCUCAGGCCCUCCCUACAUACAUUAUGGGCGUCUUCAAGCUACCCUUUUCGGUUUGUGAUGAUCUUACGCGCAUGGUGCGGAAUUUUUAUUGGGGGUCGGCAAGGGGCAAGAGGAAAGUUCAUUGGAAGAAUUGGGACCAUNNNNNNNNNNNNNNNNNNNNNNNNNNNNNNNNNNNNNNNNNNNNNNNNNNNNNNNNNNNNNNNNNNNNNNNNNNNNNNNNNNNNNNNNNNNNNNNNNNNNNNNNNNNNNNNNNNNNNNNNNNNNNNNNNNNNNNNNNNNNNNNNNNNNNNNNNNNNNNNNNNNNNNNNNNNNNNNNNNNNNNNNNNNNNNNNNNNNNNNNNNNNNNNNNNNNNNNNNNNNNNNNNNNNNCAGGCCCUACUGGCUAGGCAGGCGUGGAGGUUAAUUACCAAACCGGACAGCCUUUGUGCUAGGGUUCUAAAAGCUCGAUAUUACCCGGAGGGUAAGCUGGAAGAUACAAUUUUUUCAGGAAACGGUUCAUCUUCAUGGCAAGCUAUAUGUCAUGGACUGGAUUUAUUGAAGAAAGGGCUGCUGUGGAGAGUUGGUGACGGAGCAAGCAUUCGGGUUUGGUGAGAUAAUUGGAUUCCGAGACCCUUCUCUUACAAACCAAUCUCUCCGCAAGGGCGUUGCCGCAUCCGUUUUGUCUCUGGUUUUUUGAAUGCUAAUGGAUCUUGGAAUGUUGAGCUCCUUCGGGACUUUUUUGUGACUGCCGAUGUGAUUGAAAUUUUAAAGAUUCGCGCCUCGCCAAGGAUGGCGGGAGAUGUUAUUGCAUGGGGUCCGGGUCGGCAUGGAAGUUUUUUGGUCAAAUCAGCAUAUGAGUUGGCUUUUAACGAGGACCAUCGAGGUACCAUGUCUUCGUCUAGUGCUUCGCCUUCGGGACGUCGUGCUUGUUGGGAUUUUAUCUGGAAGUGUGAUGCUCCUCCAUCGGUUAAGCACUUCGCUUGGCGUUUGGCAAUUGAUGCACUCCCUACUUGGCAGAAGAAACAUCGUAUUGGGUUGGAAACUACGAGUAUAUGCCCGGUGUGUGGAACAGAAGAGGAGGAUAAUUUUCAUCCGUUCGUUCGCUGCCAGUUGGGACGAGAUCUGUUUGUGGCUAUGUCCAAGGUAUGGAGGCUGCCUGACAUUACAUCUAUAUUGAACAAUGGUAAGGAAUGGUUGUUACAUGUCCUGAGUCCUCUUACCGAACUCGAACGCACAAUGGUAUUAAUGAUCUUUUGGAGAAGUUGGUUUGUUCGGAAUGAGCUCACCCAUGCGAAGCCUGCACCGCCGAUGGAAGCUUCGGUGCGUUUUCUGCAAAGCUAUUUGGAAUCUUUAAUUGGUUUGAAGCAGAACCCAAGAGCUGAUCCAGCCAAAGGGAAGUCAUAUGUUGAGUGGCUACUACCAAAGAAGAGGGAAAGUGCUGCUGCAGUUCAGGAACGAAGAUGGACCAAACCAGACCUAGGGUGGUGCAAGUUAAACACUGAUGGCUCUUUUGUAGCAUCCGGUGAAGCUGGGGCGGGGAUGAUCCUGCGUGACCAUUUGGGUGGCAUCAAUUUCUCGGCUUGCAGGGUUUUGUAUUCCUGCAGGGAUCCCCUAGAGGCGGAGCUGUGCGCGUGUAUGGAAGGCUUGUCCCUGGCAAUACAGAGAUGUGAUGUGCCGAUAGCAUUGGAGCUGGAUUCUCUCGAAGCAGUCACUCUCAUUACGAGUCCGGGGACCGAUCGUUCGGUUUACUCUUCAAUUGUGAGAGAGAUCAAGCACCUUUUGGGUUUAAGGAAAACUUGUAUUUCCCAUAUAUUUAGAUCCCAAAAUAAAGCUAGUGAUAGCUUAGCUAGUUUUGCUAGAACCCAAGGUAGGACCAUGACUUGGUUAGGGGCUGGUCCAGUUGAAGUUGUGGAAAUAGCAUCCAAUGAUUGUAAGGACUUUGUGAUUGAUUAAUACAUUGCUAUUUCACCCGCAAAAAAAGAGAGAUUGAAAUGUAUCACCGACCAUAUCUGGUACACUCACGUCUCUUCCAAACCAAGUUAACCACACAUAACUAGACACAAAACAGAAGUAAGUAAACAACCGCCGGUUCGUCAAAAAGUAAACGAACAACCGAAAUGCAGGUGAUCUGCCUGCUAGGGGCAUCUCCAGCCGUUGGCCUCCCAGGAGGGGCAAAAAAACGCCCCCUGGGGGCGCACCGGCGCUAAACCGCGCACUAGGGGCGUGAUGUCCCCCAGUCGUGGUGCCCACGGUUAGUCAAAAAAGUUAAACACGGCGCAAAAACGAUUCAAAUUUAAUGCAAACAUCGGCGAGUUCAUUCAAACUUAAACAUAUUUUACAAAAAAGAAAAAAAACUACCGCGGGCUACCCCCGCCGUCUCCCUCGCCGCCCGCCGUCUCCCUCGCCGCCCGCCCACGCGGUUCUACAUGCCGAGGAGGCGGUAGAACCGCGUGUAGUCACCGCCGUCAUCGUCAUCGUCGUCGUCGUCGUCGUCGCCGCCUCCGCCGCCCCUGCUGCAUCCCUCCCCCGGUUGGCGCGGCGGGUUGGACGGUCCGGGGGCGUCAUCGUCGUCGUCUCUGUCGAGGACCACGACGCCGUGCUCGUCCUCGCGCCCACGCUUGCGGGCGGCGAUCUCCUCCAGGGCCCGGCGCUGCCGGACCAUCUCGUCGCGGAGGUAGUCGUCCCGCGCCCACCGCAUGGCGUCCUCAUCGGAGAAGCCGCGCCGGGCUAUCUCCUCGUACUUCGUGGGGAGGACGGGCUCCGGCUUGGUCUCGGCGAGGACGAAACGUCCGGUUGGUGGAGAGGCGUUGGCGCCGCCGGAGCUGCGGGUGCGCGCGCUGACCGGCGUGUCCUGGGGCUCCGGCUUGACAGGGCGGAGGCAGGGCGAGCCGCCGGACGAGGAGGAGGACCCCCCGGGCUCCAUGCGCCUCGGGGUCCAGGAGCUUCCCCGGUGGCGUGAGAAGGAAGGGGGAGCGGGGUACUCCAGGCGCGGCGUGUUGCCGCCCUCGAUGUACUCGAGGACGACCUCCAACGUGCGCCCGGGCACGCCCCUCCAUAGACGCCGGCCGGCGGCGUUGAGCCUGCCGGAGGGCACGACGCCGUUGGUGGCCUCGAGCUGCUCGGCCUGACGGCGGCGGAAUUACGGUUCCCAAAGCGGGCUGUCGAGGGCGUACCGUGGCGCCUCCCUCGCCGCACGCGGCAGGUUCGAGCGGAUGCGUGCGAUCUCUGCACGCCGCACCGCGCCGGUCGGUACCGGGGGCACCGGCACGCCGCCCGCGCUGAUCCUCCACGUCCCGGGCACCCGCAUGUCCGGCGGGACCGGGUACUCGGCCUCGUAAAGGAGGCGAGCCUCGUCUUCGUGAAGAUGGCGGCGGCCGAAGCCGUUCGCCGCCGCGCCGUCGCCUUGGAAGCGCUCGGCCAUGGCUGUGAACUGGGGGCGGCGAAAGAGAGGAGAGGAGAGGGAGGAAACGACGACGGCGGGAGAGUGUGAGUCGCCGAGUGCGUCGGGGCGCUUCAUAUAUAGGCCAAGGCGCGCGUGUCACCGUGUGUACGCGUGGCGGGCGAGGGAGGGCGAGGGACGCGCGUCGUCCGGUCUUCACUGCGCCGCCUGUGAGGCAUCAAUGGUGCAGUCUGACCGGCACGGCAGCUUUGGCAUUGAUUCGCCGCGGGAAACGAGGUGAUGAGGACGACGAAGGGCCGAGAAGAGAGCCGUGUCGCUGACGCGGCGGGCCCGUGGCUUUUUCGCGCCAAAACAGUUCGCCCGGCGCCCCCGGACGCCCCUGAGCGCGCCGGGUUCGGGCUGGGUCCGCCGACGCUGUUUUCGGCCCAAGCCGGCGAAAAUCGGGCUCCGGGGGGCGCGACUGGGCCGUUUUUUCAGCGCCGGCGCGAAAAAAACGCCUGGGGAGGCCUUCCUGGGGCACGGCUGGAGAUGCCCUAACCCACCAAAAGUUUAUACUGUCCACUGAAAGUUACAUGCAUGCAUGCAUGUCUACCCGCAUGCAGCGAUUUUUCCAUUUUGAUUUUGGAGCGCUAAAAUUAGGGCCUUCUCCUAUCUCCAAGACAUCACAGCAAGAAGUUGCCUCUCUCCUGAUCGAUACACAUAGACAGAAAAACCAUACUGCACAAGAACACCAUGGCCUCCCUUGUCUUCCUCGUGGCGCUGCUGCUCUCAUGCAGCUCCAUGAGCAGCGCAGCACGGCACCUAGAGGAGGCCGUGCCCAAAAAGGAGUAUCCACCACAUCCGGUCGUCCCGGAGCUGCCGAAGCCCGAACUCCCGCCGCACCCUGCCGUGCCCGAGCUGCCGAAGCCUGAGCCACCGCACCCUCUCGUGCCCGAAGUGCCACACCCCAUGGUGCCCGAGGUGCCAAAGCAUGAGCUACCGCCGCACCCUGCUGUGCCGGAGCUCCCGAAGCCAGAAGUGCCGCAUCCGGUUGUGCCCGAGGUAGCAAAGGAGCCCGAAGUGCCACAUCCCGUGGUGCCCGAGGUGCCAAAGAAGGAACUACCACCGCACCCUGCUGUCCCCAAGCUCCCGAAGCCUGAAGUGCCGCAUGUGCCGGAGGUGGCUAAGGAGCCUGAAGUGCCACACCCCAUCGUACCAAAGGUGCCAAAGAAGCACGAACUGCCGCACCCCAUGUGCCACACCCUGAGGCGCUGAAGGAGCCCGAGUUACCGCACCCUAUUGUGCCAGAGGUCCCGAAGCACGAAAUGCCGCCGUUCCCCAAAGCCGAGCUGCCCCCGAAGCCCGAGUUCCAUUUUCCGGAGCCAAAGGCCAAGCCAUGAUCGGACUAGCUACAUCCGCACAGUACCCAUUAUCUAAGUAUUAUUAAACUAUAUAAUAUACAUGUGUGUGUGUGUGUGAUUGUUAUAGUAUAUACAGUACACGUAUAUGUGUUGUACAUGUCGUGAGAGCCCGUACUCUAGUUCCUGACGAGAGCGUUAUGUCUGAGUGGUAUUGCAUUGUGCAACUGAUCUGUUCCUUUUAUGUACAUCCGCGAUGUAUAUGAUAUGCACGUGAAUAAAUAUGUUUGUGUUUGGAGUUUCAGAUUGCUGUUGUGUUCCGAUUUACUUAUGUGCAUCGGUAAAUACUUCUUAUGUUUUUGCUACAUUAUGCGCUUCAGACAAUAUAAUUGUUUGUUUUUUGCGUUGGCAGAGAAGGCCCAUGAGCCCACGUUUCAUCAGAAGCAUAUACUGUAAUAUAGUACUCCCUCCGUCCGAAAAUACUUGUCAGUGAAACGGAUGUAUCUAGAUGUAUUUUAGUUCUAGAUACAUCCAUUUUCAUCCAUUUUGAUGACAAGUAACUCCGGACGGAGGGAGUACAAGAUAACAAAGACUAUCCAAAUGCUAGCAGUGGUUCAUUACAAACAAAACAAAAAGUCUUUCAAAGGGUUUCUUACAUGUAAGAGAAGUGAAAUAGCAUUAGCAUGUGUUGCUGGCAUAGUCUAGUUUUUUUGAACCGUUUUUAAGUCUUAAACAAACUACUCCCUUCAUGUCGUAAAUAAGUGGUGACGGUGUCCUGGACUAGGGGUACUCAAUGCGUCGUCUCCCGAUCAGUUGGAUUGGGUUGAGGACCCCCAUGGCCGUAUACUCAUGGGCCAGUCCGGACAGCUGCUGCAUACAAGGAAGAAUCAACAAGACUUGGCGAUCAAGACAAGGACUCCUCCCCCACCGGCGUAUUCGGCUAGGACUCUUGUUAUCCUAGGCCUCUGGUGCAUUAUAUAAACUAGGGCCAGGCUAGUCGAUAGACAUAUACAACAACAAUCAUAUCAUAGGCUAGCUUUUAGGGUUUAGCCUCUACGAUCUCGUGGUAGAUCUACUCUUGUACUACCCAUAUCAUCAAUAUUAAUCAAGCAGGACGUAGGGUUUUACCUCCAUCGAGAGGGCCCGAACCUGGGUAAAACAUCGUGUCCCUUGCCUCCUGUUACCAUUGAUUCUAAGACGCACAGUUUGGGACCCCCUACCCGAGAUCCGCCGGUUUUGACACCGACAUUGGUGCUUUCAUUGAGAGUUCCGCUGUGUGAUCGGCGAAAGGAUCAAUGGCUCGACUGCAGGUCAACUGCGACGUCGACUUCUUCGUCACCAGCUCGACUGGUCACCUUGGCUUGACCGAGGACUGCGCCCUACCUUUGAUCGUCAUGUUCGGAUGAAGGCCUUCAUCAACACCAACUCCGAUCUCUAUCAAGAUCAUGGAGGAGUCAUCCAUGGAGCUCGGGGGCUCAACGUCAACAUUGCCCUCAGGCGGCCGUGCUGUUUUUCUGGACAACAAACUUGUAUCCGCCGCCACCGCCUCUUCGAGUGUCGUCUAAACGAUUACUUCGGUGGAAUUAUGCGGAAUUAAGUCUGCAACAACCCUGCAAAAAUUUCGUCGAGUUCCGAUGGAGGAAUCUCCGGCAAUCUUCGAUAUACCGAAGCCCUGUUGAAUCUGGACGAGAAUCCGGACGAGUUUAGGGCGUGGUAUGCAGCAUCUAGCUCGGAUGUCCUUUGGAGGAUCCAACCGUUGAUUUGCUGCGGAAUUCCCUUAUCUACCACCUGCCAAAAAUUCAGCUCGAUCCGACCGUUCAAACUCCGGAAAACUUCCGAUUAGUGCAUCAUUUUUUGGAUCUGUUUUCUGAGCGAAAACGAAUCUGACCCGAGUUCGUCUUUUUUAUGAACGGGAUUUCAGACAUCCUUUUUGAAGGAAGUUUUGUAUGGGGUAUUUUGUUUUCUUCCCGAACACAUCCCGCUAACUUUAAUAUCUUUUGAACAUGAUCUUCAACAUCAUGCUGGUGUCAAACCAGUCCGACAAUAUUGCUCCACGGCUGCCGACCUGCGCUAGACACGUCGUCACUUUGUUGACCCAAGCUCAACUUCUUCGGAUCAUCAUCUUGGCAAGCCGAACAAGAGUCCGACAUCGCGAAGGAUAAAUCAUCACCAACAUCGCCGCCCCACGGAUUACACGGAGCGGGCAUACCGGCAUCGCCGCACGGUCGCUUCAUCAAGCUGGCAUCGACCACGUCACGACCUGCAUCGGCAGGGCCGCACUAUUGCUUCUUCAAGCUGGCGUCCAUCACGCGAACCUACUCCGGACACUUCGGCGUCACUAGCCGACCAGGCAUGGGUGCGUGGAUCGAGUCCCAAUUUUGAGAAUCACCUUCCUUCGGAUUGCUACAACAAAUAAACCAGGUGCUAUUAAUCCUAGUUUUUCUUUUUGCUUGUUUGGGUUAAAUUUUUCCCAAGGAAUUAUUACUCUGGUUAGUCCAGCAUAUGUACACAGAUCUAUCAAAUGGUGGCCGCAUUAUCGACGGUCGCAUGAUGGUUCGGUCAGUUUCCGUACACAGUUUGGCGAACGCCGCAUCCGGAACUCGGACCGACCUGUGAAUCCAGGCUUUGCCACGCCUUUAUUGCAUUACGCCGACGACCUGCAUCGACAUCGACUUCGGCGCCAGGCCAUAUUUUUCUUUUACUACUCACUUUGCAUAAAUUAUUUAUUAUGCAACAUUUUUUUAAUUCCUAUUAUUACUAUUAUCCCCGGUCUGCACUAUUUUUUGUGCACAGGAAAAUGAUCCAGCCGGACUAUAUCCUUUUGCGCCACCUCGGCUGGACGGGGGGCUUCGUCAACACUUCAUUACCCCAUGCCGGGGACUUCUGCAUCACCCUGCCAUCCUGCAUUGACCGUGCUAUGUCACCACUUCGGAGUGCCGAGCUCUUUGCUUCGCCACCUCGGGACCGGCUCUGGGAUGGAACCUUGUCCCGCAUCAAGCUUGGACCGCGUCAUCAAUACCGAACACAUUAACCAGCUAAGUUGUCUUCAUGCUCAAAGUUUUAAAUUUGUAACUUGUGUUCGGUUCGACCAAGCAUUAUACUUUUUUUGGAAAAAAAGUUGCUUGUAAAAAUUUUCCUUGUCCAAACUUUGUUUGCACAUACUUGACGCGCUACCCGCGCUCAUUAUACCUGGAGGCUUCUUUAACAGAAGCUUAUUAAUACGGGCUUUAUGCCCAACACAUGUGUCACACUUCCGCAUGUACCUUUUAUUCACUAUUAUAUGCAUCGAUAUGACUUAUGUUUUGACCAAGCUGGGUUGCCUGGCUCCUGUGCUUACCCCUACGUUCCCGAUUGUUCGGCUAGGUGGUAAAGGGAGCACCUCUGCGAUUGUUACUGCCGGGUCAGCCGGAUGUGUACCUCAGACUAGGUGAAGCCGAAAGCUAGCGUUCUUAAGGGAAUAUUCGGUCGGUGAACUAAAAGAUGAUUUUUAAUUAUUUAUCCAUCUGCCCCCAGAUGAUUUUCUGCUUUCAUAGCAGCUUUGACAUGCACUUUAGGGCAUGCAUCCCAGCGAAAGGAACCCUUAACGGAACUAUUCUCCCUGGAAGAUGUUUUUUACUACCCAUGUAAUAUAACAUAACUAGUUGGGCACUUGUCUGAUACAUCACUAAUGACCCCUACACCUUGUCUCCAUGCAUACCAUGGUUCUUAUAUAACCACCAAGGUAUUCGGACACACUCCGGACUAUUGGGUCCUGAGGUCGAAGCGAAAAGGUCCGCUAUGACAAACGAUCUACAAUCCGGCUAGAAGGCAUUCUACAUGUCACCUUACAUUAUAUAGUCAACUUUUACCCAAGUCACUUGGGGGCCCUUAUGUUAUUUGAGCCGUUUCAUACUAAGUGUUUUUCUUCUUAGUCCUUGCAAAGUUUUUAUUAUUUAUCACUCCUUUUCUCGACACGAGUGUGCGGUCACUAGCCGAGGAGCCUAAUUUCUCUCUCGAAAUCGCUAGAGUUUAGUUUUCUAAACUUGACUAAUCCGUAGGCUGACCCACUUGACGUCUUGAGAUAGGAUGUGUCAUGUUAAAGCACGGCAGAAGCACUUUUUUUUCUACAGUCCAAUUUUCGGAUUGGCACCGAACACUUGAUCUUGUUCGAACGUCAUGUUUUUACUGACGUUUUUUGGUUUUCCAAGAUUUUGGCACUUUUAAACUAUUUGUGUGUUUUUAGCACAAGUCUCGCAGUGCAACGCCGGACACCUUUAGAGAUUCGGCAAAAACAUUCUCGGAUAUUGCUAUAUAUGCAUCGGUUUCGAAUUGUGUAUUCGGUCAAUAGUUGGGUUGCCCGGCUCCUGCGCUUGCCUCCUAUGUUCCGCUUUGUUCGGCUAGGUGUGCAAAGGGAGAACCACUGCGAUUGUGCUUCCAGCUCACAUGGUUAAGCACCUCAAUGGAGAAAGCCGAAAACUGACUGUCACAAUAAGCGUAAACUGGUCGGCGAUCCGAUGACGGCGUUAAACAACGGGCCAUUCAUAACAAUGGCCGAAGUGUUUACGGCUUGACCUCGAUUGUCGCCGAACACUACCGGGGGCUAUUAACUGGCCUCCCAAACUAAAUCCUCGAUAUUUUGCUCUUACAUUGGAGCUGAGGUUUCAUGAUCAUGCUUAGCAUGACAACCCAAAGAAAGGAACCGAUAGCGGGACUAUUUUCUUUGGAAGACAUUUCUUCUGUUAAACAGUAAUAUAACAUGUCUCUCCGCGUACCUUUGUUUAUAAAACCGUAUGGCCAGAUUCCCUUGUUUGUUGUAAAUCUUUGCCCUCAUAAAGACUUUAUAAAGUAGGACAAACACUCCUCGGCUACCGGCCGAGGAGGUUAAAGCCCAUGGUCGGUCAACAAAGUUUUGUACAAUGCGGAUCCGAGCAUUAAUGACAUAAAGUACUUGGAUACAUUGAAUCAUUACACAUAAUUUGUGAUUUUACUAUGGAUAUUGAUCCUUAAUUCGGCCACCCGUGCCCGCAUUAAGGCUCGGGGGCUACUGGGCUUCAGGCUUAUUAUUUACAAAUAUUAAAGGGGCACAUUGAUCCCCUGAUCUGGUGUUGCCACCCGACCAGUGUCUCGGGGGCUACUGCAUUGCUUGUUCUAUGCAGAAAAUCUUAAGUGCAAUACAGUUUCCGAGGAGAUUUUGAUCCUCAGGUUGGUCAGCCGCACCCAACCUGAAUCUCGAGGACUGAUCAUGCCGCUUUUUGUGUCCCGAAGUAUUCUGCCGAGCUAGGACUUGAUCCUCAGACCGAUUUUGCAAAUCAACCUGAGUCUCAGUGGCUACGGGGAUCAGCGGUCUUAUGUCAUCCUUCAGGUGCAUCUCGGUUUUUAGACCGAUACAUACCUUGAGGGCUACUGGCUAUAUAUCUCGUCAGAGAAUAAAUUACAUCAAUAAAAAACAUUGACCAAAAAUCAGCCGACGACCGAGGUGCUUAACCACCUCGGAAGUAGUUCGACAUAUAGCUCGGAUGCAAGUGGCUGGCUCCUUAGAGGGCAUUUCCGGCGUUAAGCUCGGUUAAACUCCUUCAAACUUCUUUGAACCAAGGUGAUUUAUGACACCUCGGAUAAAGUCCGGCGUUGGAGCUCGGAUACAGUUCGGCGUUGGAGCUCAGAUACAUAGUCCGGCGUUAGAGCUGGGAAGCAGUCCGGCAUUGGUGCUCGGCUGCAAAAGAUACCUCGAAUGCAGUCCGACGUUGGAGCUCGGACGCAAGAGGACCUUCCCACCCGGGAACAACUUCAAACCCGAGGCAUGGCAUAAAAAUAACAAGGCAUUGAUAAAGGCCGUAAACUUAAAGGGGAUCCUCGGAUGCCCAACGCGUAAACUCGUCGAAUGCAUUUCGGCGAUCCUCAAGAUAGAAGAUGAGAAGAUUUGUUGAACCAGUUUUCAAGACCGGCAACCAAAGAUGAAGAACAGUUCGAAAGAAUCGAGGAGCGUCCCUAACUUGAAGACCGGUUCAGGGGGCUACUGACGGUGUCCUGGACUAGGGGGUACUCAACGCGUCAUCUCCCGAUCAGUUGGAUUGGGCCGAUGACCCCCAUGGCCGUAUACUCAUGGGCCAGUCCGGACAGCUGCCACAUACAAGGAAGAAUCAACAAGACUUGGCGAUCAAGACAAGGACUCCUCCCCCACCGGCGUAUUCGGCUAGGACUCUUGUUAUCCUAGGCCUCUGGUGCAUUAUAUAAACCAGGGCCAGGCUAGUCGAUAGACAUAUACAACAACAAUCAUACCAUAGGCUAGCUUUUAGGGUUUAGCCUCUACGAUCUCGUGGUAGAUCUACUCUUGUACUACCCAUAUCAUCAAUAUUAAUCAAGCAGGAUGUAGGGUUUUACCUCCAUCGAGAGGGCCCGAACCUGGGUAAAACAUCGUGUCCCUUGCCUCCUGUUACAAUUGAUCCUAAGACGCACAGUUCGGGACCCCCUACCCGAGAUCCGCCGGUUUUGACACCGACAAGUGGUGCUUUGGACAUUAAUUGACGGUCCAAAGUAGGUCGAAAGCUUGGGGCUUUUUUUGUGUUACCGCAUUCUUCACCAAAGUUUGGCUAGAUGGUUAUGUACAGUUCAGAGUGAAAGCUUGGUUUUCAACAGGGGUCAAUGUUGGUGACUGCGACGUUAUUUUCCUCAUUGGAGGCGUUUUCCGAAGAUUCUGCUCACUACUCCUCGGGCUACGGUCACGUUGGUGCUGGUGGUCUAGCUUGGUCAAUGCCUAGCGGUGUUGUUUUACCUUUUUUUGGCUUUCGGUCUAGUUUCCUCAAUAAGCCUGGUCACUCUAUAAUUUUUUGCCUUUGAAAUUGACAGAGCACCUUCCUUGCAACUAACAAUAAAAUAAACUAAUGACAUUUUCAAAAUACUUUUCGACAAAUCUACACAUAAGUCAAAAAAAUAAACUAAUGACAUUUUCAAAGUUUCUAUAUAAUUGUUUAAAACAAUAUCAACAGUCAGAGUUUUAAUAAAUUUCUAGACAUAAGUCAAAAACAUCACCUAUAUACUAUUGGUGAUUUUAUUUUUACAAAUAAGUUUUCUGCGGCUAUUUUUUUCAGAUGUUCCUGCAAAAACUCGAAGGCGGAUGCCUAUUUUGCCAUACAAAAUAGGCUGUUUUUUUUCUUCUUUUUCUUAGCCAAAGUUGAUGUGAAUGGUGGAAACAUUUUCAUGUUCCAAAGCAAAUAAGGAGGUGAGAAAUAUUGGAUGGUAAGCAAGUUUAAAUUUCAUUCAACAAACAAAAGAAGGAGAUCUUUUUUUGCGGGCAAUAGAUUUAACCUAUCUGACAUCUACAAAUCUUUAUAACCUUUGUCACAACAACUAAAAAAUACAUGCAACAUUAUGUUGUUAUAUCCCAACAUAAUAAAAAUAAAAAAUCUUCAUUAAAGGUACUUACAAGAUAUAGUUUUUCACCCAUUUGAUUAACAAAAAUGUUCCAAAUGGGGUCUAAACCAACAAGGUGUGCUAAUGAAGUUAGUGACUGUUAUUUCCAAUAUUGAUUAUUUUGCAUAAAUUAUAACUUAUUUUUGCGAGAGAUAUUCUUGUUUUUAUAUGGGGAGUAAACGUGACGCCGAAAGUAAUGUAUAACAAAACGAGAAGGAGUUAACAAUAUAUAGUCAUUUUGUUACGUAGCUUCGGUUAACGUACUUCUCCUAAAGCGCCAUGCAUUCAGGGUAUCAAGUAAUAUGUUAUAAAAAGUGUAUUUGCUAGAUUUGCAUUCGAAAGUAGUUUUGAAUGGAGUGUCAAAAAUACUCUUGUACUAUUUUUGCUACAUACAACUUAAAUUUAUGUAAAAAAAUCGAUCCAAAAUACAAUGAGGUACCUGAAGAUAUUUGUGUGCGUCUGGCUUUGGUACCUGAGGAGUUAGGUAGCUUUAAGUUGCUUGAAGAAGGGAUGGUCACGUCAUGGAAUAGUCAUUUUCAACUCGAUUCGGAACUAGCGAAGUCAAAUAUAGUUCAUAACACCAUGGAGUAUCUCAGCAGCUUGUCCUUGACCUGCAAGUCUGCUCAUCUGAUAAAAAAGAAGAAGGUAUGCUGAUCAGCACUCACUGCUCCCAACUAAUAUACCCGCAAGUCGUUUUCUGCUCAACUUGCAACAAAGCAACCGCCUUGCCGAUAGACACAUCCCACAUCCACAUGAUAGAUUGCAUGCGAUCUCUGACUACGGAGCUCGGUGACGUGGAGCUAGCUAACCCUAAUCAAGCACAACCACCACAAUAAACAUGUCAAAAUAAAGGGCACGGGGAUGUUUCCUGACCACAGCCGUUCGCCGGUGAGUGGUGACCUAACACCUGCCGUACCAGGUCGACCGUGCGUCAGAGUGACCUGACACCGCGGUACGGCGACGGACGCUCCUACGCGAGCGCGUGCGCGCUCAAUCCAUCACCAAACGGCCAACUAGGGACUGAUGUAUGGCCUCUUCAGGAGAUCAGCCAGUUCGACGAGAUAGGUGCAGCUGCGCUGCAGAACCGAGCGACCAGUUAUCGAGUCAUCCAAAAACACUUGCGUUUAGGUUCGCUGUAGCACAGGAUAUCUCGGUGUGUAGGCUGAGUAGCAUGUAUUCAUAUGCUACAUUUGGACAGCAGGUUCCGGUACAAUCUUUUUUUUUUUGGGAAAAGGAGGCUAAACCCCCGACCUCUGCAUCAAUCGAUGCAAACCAAUCUUCAUUAAUUAUUUCACAAAUGACUGACAAGAAAAUACAUCAAGCCACCCAAAGUAACCACUCACACCUAUAAACUCGAUAAUGUGAAGUGCUCUCACCUCACAUAUCUAAAA
rnacentral:lncRNA from 1 species